UGAUACUGCUAUGCCCCUGAUAAGGCAG
rnacentral:piRNA from 1 species